rnacentral:lncRNA from 1 species
GAUACAAAGGAUGUGAAGAAGGCGAACAACCUGCUCCCCUUCGGCGGUGGCGUCCGACACUGCGUGGGCUCUGAGCUCGCAAGGGUCGAGAUCUCGAUAUUACUUCACUAUCUCAUCCUCAACUAUGACUGGGAAUCCGUCGUGCCCGACCACCCCGUCUCAGCUGCUCUGGUAACUUUCCCUAAGGACUUGCCGAUUCGCGUUCGAGCCGUAGAUUAUAGCCUUUAGAUGAACUAUAUAUGUGAUGGUUGUUGAUCUAGUAAUAUUAGUUUUUAUGUAUGCUCUGCUCAUAUAAAAGAUGAGCUUUUUUAUUAUUGUCUCCCACCAAGCUUAAUUAUGGUUGCAACAUCUAGUAAUAUUAGUUUUUAAUUAUGUAUGCUCUGCUUAUAUAAAAGAUGAGCUUUUUUAUUAUGUUCUCUCCCACCAAGCUUAGAUCCGCCAUUUUGGGAAAAAAAAAUAUAUUUCUCGUAUUUUGCGACACUUGUGCUCUUUGACUAGGCAGUCGGUAGAACGUCAGCACGAAAAAAGCUGGCUUCGCUUAAGUAUCGAGCUGAAAACUUCAGCUGUGUCGGCUGUUUAUUAACGAGAGACACGAGCUAGCUUACGAGCUGCCAACGAACAUAAAUUAAAGGGAUUAUAUUAAUAUAUAUAUAAAAAAUUUAUAAAAUUUUAUAUAGACUUUAAUCUAAUAGUUAAAUUUUAAUAUAAAUGAGCUUUUUUAUAAUUAAGCUCGCAUUUAUAUAUUUAUUUUGCUAAAAUUAAAUAAUAAAAUAUUAUUAUAUAUAAUUAUUUAUUUAUAUAAAAAUAUAAAUUAAAUAAAUUAUAUAAAUUAUAAAUAUAUGUAUCGAGCCGUUAUCGAGCGAACACGAGCGAGUUGACUCCAGCUCGUUCGGCUCGUUUACUAACGACGAUUCGAUCUCAAGUCUAUUCGAGGGAAUACGAAAUGGCAUCAGCGGAACAGUGAGCUGGAUUGCCACCCCUAUCGUGACUAUGUCCAUAUGGGGUUUUCUUUUUUCUAUAUUUAAUGCUAACAUGUAUUUGCACCCCUCAACUAUAGACGCUUUCAAAUUUGGUUCAUAUCCCGGUUUAAUAAAAAAAAAAUUGGUUCAUCAACUUUUCUGAAGAGCAAUAACGAUGGAAUUAAUUUAAGUCAUUCAGUAUAAAAAAUUUAGAUAAAUCCUGCAUUGAUCAAAGCCUAAUAUAUAUAAACUUCAUAUUAGAUGAUUACUAUAAGGAAAAAUUAGUGGAAGGACAUUGGUAAUGUCAACUUAAUUUCCAUUUGUUAUUGACAGAAGAAAUAUGCUGUAUUUAACUCCAAUGUGAUCUAUUUUGCACCGGCAGUAAUAAAGCAAGUUAUGAUAAUAUUAUAGCGUCGUAACCCGUGCGAUGCAACGGAUAGAUAAUUAAAGAAAAAAUAGAAAACGUCGACAAAAAAAGAGAAAAUGGUGAUGAAAAAGCGAUAAUAAAAAAUAAAAUUCAUCUUGCCGAUGAACGAAGGUAACAUGCAGUCGAAGAACGAGAAAGAGGAAAGACUUGAGCUGGUUCAGGGUGGAGCCCACACUCAAUAAUAAAGAAAAAAUUAUUAUGUGGCAACUUUAGGAGAAAUAAUAUAUAGUUAUAAAUUAAUAUUUUUAGUAAAUUAAUUAAGAUAUAUUUUGUGUUAAUUUCUUGUAUUUGAAAGAUAACAUUUUUUUACCACAAGUUUUCUCAUUAAUUAACUCCGUUUAUUUCCAAAAACACGCACCUCCAUGUAUCCUACUUAAUACCUAAUAUUUUGUAACAUUAAUCUCCCUGAUUCCUACACAGUACUCGAGAUCAACUGUUGAAAUUCUCAUUAAUUGACACUAUUUUCUUGCAAAACAGUGCUUCAAAUUAAUGUACUAGCAUGCAUGCACCUACAAUCAUCUUAGUUAAUAUAUAUUUGGUUUCAUAUAUUAAUCUCCCCCACUUCAUGAUAAGUCCCUCCACCACAUGAUCUCCAUAUCUAUUACUGCUGAGUUAAAUUAAUUAACCUAUAUUUUCCUUGAAAUCUAAACAAUUCCUCCGUUUGGUUUGGGGUUAAGGAAAAAAGUAGCUAUUCCAGAGAUAGAGUUAAGUUCAGGGUUAAAGUGGGGUUAAAGUUUUUUUGCGUUUGGUUGGGGGUUGGAGUUAGUCUAGAAUAAUGAAAAAUAAUGUUUGGUUGGAGUAGGUGGGAUAAAAAGAUAAUGAUUGAUAAAGAAGGAUAAUGAUUGGUUAGAGUAUGUGUGAUAAGAAAGAUAGUGAAUUAUUAUGAAUAGAAAAUAGUGUUUGGUUGGAGUUUGGUGAGGUUAGGUGGGAUUAGCUAACCCGGGAUAAUUUAUUUAAAGUGAGGCUAGCUAACCCCACCUAUUUUUGGAGUGUUUGGAGAUAAAAUGGAGGUUAAGGGGUUAUAAGGCCAGAAAAUUACGUUUUUGUAUGCAUAGAUAAUUUUUAAAAAAAUAUGAGCUAUCCUUUGAAAAUUACAUCGUGCCGCUCGUGGAGUUCGUUAAGAAUUAAAUCACGCUGCUCAUGCAGUAUAAUUUUACUGACAACUAUUAAAUGCAUAAAUCUGGUGCAUUUGGUCAAUGAUUUCACUUGUGUUGACUUACGUGCCUUGAAUACUCUUUAUUGAGCUUUAGUGCAGUGCACCGAGAUCAUGGAAUCAUUUUAUACUUUAAGUCCUUUUACUUUAUAUUGAUCCGUGAAGGGCGUGAACCUUUAGUAAUUAUAACGCCCUUUUAAUAGCUUUAUAUAAUUAUGGCCAAUUUGCAUAAAAAAUCCACUUAUUUUAGUCGUUUGCAAAAUCGGGCCACAUUUUUCGUUUUUGCAGACUCGGUCCGCUUUUUCAGCAAAUUGAUCAAAAUGCCCUUGUACCUUUUUCUCUUUCCUUUUUUUCUCUCCUCUUCGUUCUCUCGUUCUUUUUUUUUUUCGCCGAAAAAAAAAGCGAAGGCCGGAGCACCGCCAGGCGGGCUCUUCUUCUUCUUCUUCUUCCUGCAGGAGCAAUUUUUUUUUUUCUUUUUCUUUUUCUUCUUCUUCUUCCUCCUACUGGAGCUUUUUUUUUUUCCCUUUUCUUCUUCUUCUUCUUCUUUUUCUUCCUGUAAGAGCACGAGGUGCGCCGGCCUCGCCACGGAGCCCGACCGCUCGACCCCGACGCCCCGCUCAAGCCGGGGAAGCUCUACUUCCUCGUCGACCUCCCCCGCGCCGACCUCAAGCCCGACCACCGCCGCGAGGGCGCAACCGGCGCCGGCGCCGGCACCGCGCGUUCCUACUAGUUGCCCGAGGAAGGCCGCGCGUCGGACUACGAGCCCGACCGCUCGACCCCGACGUCCCGCUCAAGCCGGGGAAGCUCUACUUCCUCCCCCGCGCCGACCCCGAGCCCGACCACCGCCGCGUGAUUUCACCAUUACACCAUUAAUGGUGUAAUAGUGCGCCAUUACACCAUUAAUGGUGAAAUUACACCAUUAAUGGUGUAAUGGUGUAAUUACACUAUUAAUGGUGUAACCAUUAUACUAUUAAUGGUGUAAUUUCACCAUUAAUGGUGUAAUGGCGCACCAUUACACCAUUACGAAGAACCCUGCCAGCCGGGACAGCGAGCGCCCGCGCGAGACCGCCGGGUCGACGUGCACCUCCUCCACGGCGACGGCGACGGAGAAGGAGGCGUUGGCGUGCACCGGCCGACCUCGAGCUCGGCCGACCCCGACCUCCCCCGCGCCUCCGCUCGACCCCGACGCCCGCAGGCCGCCGCGUGCACGCCAACGCCUCCGUGCACGCCAACAUGACCUCUUACCCACUUUAACACCUAUCAGCAGAUUAAUUAACAAUUGGUACCACAGAAAAUUCACAAAAAACCUUUAAUCCGCUGCCCUAAUCAAAUGCACAAACAAAGCACGAAACAAAGACGCAGGCAAUAAAAAUAAAAAUAAAUCAUCUCUAAUUUAUUUUGCAAACCGUUAUGAAUGAAAAUAAAAACGUGCCUUUUUUAAGUAAAGAAUCGAUGAAAAACAAAAAUAGAUGAAUUUUUUAUCAUGAUUUAGCAGCAUCGGUGCUCACUCCAUUAUAAAUAGGCUAAUUUCACGAGCUACCAAUGCGGAAGAAGCUUCAUUCUCCUGAUGAGAAACUCGCCUGUCGUCGUGCGGCGAAGCAGGAGGGGGUGGGCGAGAGCGCGCGGCGCGGGGACUGCGCGCGUGGGGCCGCACGCGCGUCGCAGCGACUGCUGCGCGCCGGGGGCACGCGGCGCACUCUGGCGGACUGCGAAUUGGGAAUCUGGCGCGAGCCACGACUCGGUCGUGCAGGGGCGCCGGACGCUCGCUGCUUGCGCCGGGGACCGCGGACCGCGGACGCGGGCGACGCGGUCGCGGGGCAGCUUCCCGCGAGUCAGCGAAUCGGCACGGCGGCGCGGGGACGCUUUGCGGCGGGGCGAGACAGGGGCCGCGGCGCGCGAGCCGAGGACAGGGGCGCAGACUCCGCUUGUCGUAGGCGCCGACGGUAGUUGAGGCGCUCCAUCGCCCAGCGCGAGCACCCCUAGCACACACACGCACUCCACCACGUCACCCCAACAGACACCGUCGAGCACAGACGACGACGAUGGUGAAGACUAAGAGCCGGGCCAUAGGGAGAAGGCGCCCUCGUGCGCACAUGUGCGAGGCGAGACGCAGUUCGGCGAAGCGGCGGAAGGCGGCGCGGAUAGCCGAAGGAGCGCGACUCACCUACUCCUGUCGUCUGGAGCAGCACGCUUUAUUCUCCCCAUUUUGUUUUCCAUCUUUUUUUUUUUGUAUCAAUGGGUUUUUUAGUGAAUUUUCUGUGGUCCAAUUUGUUAAUAUAAUCUGCUGAUAGUGUUAAAGUGGGUAAGAGGUCAUAGUCUGGACUGCACGUAGGGUGGCGUGCAAGCGCGGCCUGGCGAGCGUCGGGGUCUAGGCGGAGGCGCGGGGGAGGUCGGGGUCGGCCGAGCUCGAGGUCGGCCGGUGCACGCCAACGCCUCCCUCUCCGUCGCCCUCGCCGCGGAGGAGGCGCACGUCGACCCGGCGGUCUCGCGCGGGCGCUCGCUGUCCCGGCUGACCGGGUUCUUCGUAAUGGUGUAAUGGUGCGCCAUUACACCAUUAAUGGUGAAAUUACACUAUUAAUAGUGUAAUGGUUACACCAUUAAUGGUGUAAUUACACCAUUACACCAUUAAUGGUGUAAUGGUGCACCAUUACACCAUUAAUGGUGUAAUUUCACCAUUACCAUUACACCAUUAAUGGUGUAAUGGUGUAAUUUCACCAUUAAUGGUGUAAUGGCGCACCAUUACACCAUUAAUGGUGUAAUGGUGAAAUCACACCAUUAAUGGUGCAAUGGUUACACCAUUAAUGGUGUAAUUACACCAUUACACCAUUAAUGGUGUAAUGGUGUAAUUUCACCAUUAAUGGUGUAAUGGCGCACCAUUACACCAUUAAUGGUGUAAUGGUGAAAUCACGCGGCGGUGGUCGGGCUCGGGGUCGGCGCGGGGGAGGAAGUAGAGCUUCCCCGGCUUGAGCGGGACGUCGGGGUCGAGCCGUCGGGCUCGUAGUCCGACGCGCGGCCUUCCUCGGGCAACUAGUAGGAACGCGCAGCGCCGGCGCCGGCGCCGGUUGCGCCCUCGCGGCGGUGGUCGGGCUUGAGGUCGGCGCGGGGGAGGUCGACGAGGAAGUAGAGCUUCCCCGGCUUGAGCGGGGCGUCGGGGUCGAGCGGUCGGGCUUCGUGGCGAGGCCGGCGCACCUCGUGCUCUUACAGGAAGAAAAAGAAGAAGAAGAAGAAGAAAAAGAAAAAGAAAAAAAAAUUGCUCCUGCAGGAAGAAGAAGAAGAAGAAGAGCCCGCCUGGCGGUGCUCCGGCAUUCACUUUUUUUUUUCGGCGAAAAAAAAAAAAGAACGAGAGAACGAAGAGGAGAGAGAAAAAGAAAAGAGAAAAAGGUAUAAGGGCAUUUUGGUCAGUUUGCUGAAAAAACGGACCGAAUCUGCAAAAACGAAAAAGGUGGCCCGAUUUUGCAAAAGCCUAAAAUAAGUGGAUUUUUUAUGCAAAUUGACCUAUAAUUAUUUAAUAGAUUAAAUUAAAUAAUUAUAACGCUAUUUUGAUAACUUUAUAAAUAAUAUAAAUGAUUUGGUACGUACUUUAUUUUAUAAAAAAUAAAAAGAUCUUAACCAUUGAUUAAUAAAGAUUAAAAAUAUAAUUUUAUUAUGUAACAGGUUAAAAGAUGAUUUCAUGUGACACUAUAACAAAAACGGUCUAUAGCGAUACUUUUAAAUAUAGGUACAUGUCAAAAAAGUGAUGCUAGUUAAAAUUACUGACACUUUUAAAAAGUGUUGCUAUAUGUGGGGUCGCUAAGUAUAUAGUGACAGUUAAGAGUGUCGCUAUAACCUAAAAGAGUGCUGCUAAUUUACCAACACUUAUUUAAGCAUUUAGCAACCGCCGAAACUCUAUCUCGUUAGCUGUGGUGGCGGAGGAGGACGACAGGAAAGGCUCUUCGUCUAGAAUUUCAGUGGAUUGAGUGAAGAGAGAAGAAAAGAUGGUAAUUGAUUUUUUUUUUUUUUUCUUUUCUGUUUGUAAUCGGGCCAAAUGGACUGGGUGUGGUGGGUGGAGUAGAGUAAUUUUUUAUUUUUGGUCGGAUUGGGUUUUAUAUUUAGGCAUUAGUAGAUAUUUUUUAAGUUUUAGGAUAAAUAUGACACUUACUCAAAAGUGUUCCAAAUAUGUGUUCCUAUAGCCUAAUUCUGUUGUAGUGUGAGGGUAUUUUUGUAACUAAAGUGGGCAAAAUUUUAAGAAAAUUGUGAUUAAUAUCUCAAAUUUAGUAUUAAUUUUGUACUAAUUUAAAUAUUAAUUUAAAAUUUGAUAGAUAUUUCAAAUUUAGACAUUAAUUUUGCGCUAAUUUAGGCAUUAAUUUCCGUGAAAGAACGUGAACCUUUUUAAGUAAUUAUAUAACUCUGUUUUAAUAGCUUUAUAUAAUUAUUUAAUAGAUUAAGAAAUUAUAACUCUAUUUUAAUAGCUAUAUACAAUAGAAAUGAUCUGGUACUUCAUUUUAUAAAAAAUAAGUAAAUUUUAAAUUAAAUCUAGCAAAUAUAAAAUGUCAAAUUUAAAAUUUAAAUAAUUAAAAAUAACAAUUUAAAUUUUAUAUUUUAAAUUUUAAAUCAAAUCUAAAAUUACAAAUAUAAAAUGUCAAAUUUAAAUUUAAAUAAUUAAAAAUAAUUAAAAAUUUAAAAAUAUAAAUUUUAAAAUUACAAAUUAUAAAUUUUUAAAAUUUAAAAUUUAUAUUUAUAUUUAAAAAUUAGGGAUAAUUUCAUCAAUACCCUUCUAAGAGAUAGGAAUUUCAUAAAUGCCCCUAUAAAUUACAAAAUAUCAGCAAUACCCCUCUAUAAAACAAAAAUAUUCACAAAUACCCUUAAGAUUAACAUUCCGUUAAAAAGUCAUCUAAUAUUCUGUAAAUACCCAUUUUACCCUUAUUAAUUACUAAUUUAACUAAGUGUAAUAAUUUAAGAUUAAUUACAUGAUCAAGAUCAAUUCUUAACCUUUCAAUCACAUAAUAAUUCAACAUUCUUUUUAAAAUUUUACAAUUAAAUAUCUAUAGUCUAUUAAGUGUAAUAAUUAAAUCUUGUUAUAAUUUUUCGCUUGUAAAUUAUAUAUAGUUGUAAUGCAAUUGUCUAUUGUAAUAUUCAAUAUUAAUUUCGAGAUUUAAAUUUUUUGAAUUUUAUUUAAAUAACUCACAUAAGUCAUACAAAAAAUAUUUUGAUAUAAAAUUUUUUUGAUAUUAGUAUUUUUCAUAUGACCCAAUCAAGCAACAGUUUUUUAAUUGCACAUUUAUUGUCAACAAAAAAAUAACUUUGUAUGAAGACCCGCUCACCCAUUAGUCCACUUUGGCAUGGCCCUAUCUUUGAAUAAUAUAUAUAUAUAUAUAUAAUUAAUUAAUUGAGCUCCUAUAUUUUUAAAAGUAUCAAGUUAUUAGUGGUUGUAGAUUUGUGUCCAUUGGAUUAAGAGAUGUGCGGUUAGAUGAUGUUUCCAUAUAUUUUAUCUACCAAUAAUUAGUACUAAAAAUAUUAUUUUUAAAAUUUAAAGGGUAUUUAUGAAAUUAUAUCUUUAUUAGUUGCUGUCAAAAGAACACCCCAACCGAGGAUAAAUUAGUCAUUUUAUAACCUAAUCUUAACGUCCGUUAUAAAAAAAGGUAUUUGUGAUAAUUUUCUACAUUUGAAGAGAUAUAUAUGAUAUUUUCAAUUUUAUAGAAGUAUUUACGAUAUUUAGAUAUUUCAGAGGGUAGCGGUGAAAUUGCCCCUAAAAAUUAAAUCCCCUAUGACUAGAUAACCCAUGGGGUGGGGUUUGCUAAAGCAAGAGGGGCGAGUAGCCUCAGCCCAUUUCUGUACUUUCCUGAACUCCACUCACACUCAGAGACUCAGAGAGAGAGAGAGAGAGAGAGAGAGAGAGGGAAAACCCAUUUCUUAACUUUCCUGAACUCCACUCACACUCAGAGAGAGAGAGAGAGAGAGAGAGAGAGGGAAAACCCAUUUCUUAACUUUCCUGAACUCCACUCACACUCAGAGAGAGAGAGAGAGAGAGAGAGAGAGGGAAAAUUGAAGAUGAUGAUACCAUUUUCAACAGUGUUGGUGAUCAUCUUCACCAUCAUAGUCUCUCCCACCAUAGCCAUUGUUGUGGCUCAGAGCUUGAAGAGCUACAGGAAGAAGAGGAACCCCAAGUUCCCACGUGGACCCAUGGGGUGGCCCCUCGUUGGCUCCACCUUCUCCUUCUUCAAGCCCCAUCACUCCUCCUCCAUUGGUCACUUCAUGGAGCAGAACCUCUCAAGGUGACGGAUGAUGAACAUCUAGCUAUGAUCUCUAUAUAUAUCUCCCCUCAAAGAAAAGUUAAUUUUUUUUUAAAAAAAGAACAAUAAAAAAUACAAAAAAAAUACGGCGAUCAAACCACGGUAUUUAAACACGAUGAUUGAAUCACCAUAUUCAACUUAAAAAUACCAUGUAGACGCUCGCGUGACAAACGAAGCAUUAUUUAUGUAAAUAUAAAUUUGUUAGAGCCAUUUGUUGAUUAUUGUAAGAUUUAAACUAGCUCGUUAUUUAGAUGUCCAAAGAGCAUUGCCCAGUCAUAAUUAUGUUGUGUUAACUGCAAAAGGUACGGGAAGGUAUUCAGCAUGAACUUCUCCGGGGAGAUGGUGGUGGUAUCGGCGGCUGUUCAGGAACAGUCUGCCGGCGCACUUCCCGAAGCUGGUCGGGAACUCCUCGCUGGUGCUGCUGAUGGGCGAUGCCUACCGGCACAAGAAGGCCAUCCUCCUCGCCUUCUUCAACAAGUUCCGCCUGCAGGCCGGCUUCUUGCAUGACAUCGAGCGCCUCGCUGGAGGCCUCUUGGCCUCCUGGAGCGAGGGAGGGGUCACCUACAUGACAGAGAACGCAAACAAGGUGACGGAUUUUUUUUCUUUUUCUUUUCUUUCAGCUUAUUUGCAACUUAUAUGCGAUUUUGCUGAUGCUCUUUUUGGAUGGAUUAAAAGGGAAAAAAAAAAAAGGAAAAUAAGCUUUCUUAGUAUGAGGAUGAAAGUUGAAGGGUUAAACAUUAAUAUUCUGUAGGAUAAAUUUAAUGCACUAAAAAAAAAAAAAUAGUAGUGGUAUUUGGUUGUGUGGUAAAUGAAAGCGAAAAGAGAGAAAGGAACGGAAGAGAAAGUAAAGAGAGAAAAUGAGGAGAGAGAAAGUAUCGUAGGAGAAAAAGUAGGAAUAAGGUUGAGAUAGAAGGGUUUUUUUUUUUUGAGAGAGAGAUAUAGAUAACAUGCGAUCCGUUUCGUUUAUUUUAUUUGAAAAUAAAUUUAGUUAGAAAUACGAAUUAACUAGGAUUCAAAUUUGAAAUCUCAAGUACUAAUUAUCAAGUUCUUCGCUAGGGACAGCCGGUGUUGAGAGAAAAAGUUACUGCUGAGAAAAAAAAAAAAGAAAUUAAAUAAGGAGAGAAGAGGAUGAGAGAGAAUAGGAGGAGAAUGAUGGGAGAAGAGAGAAAAGGACAAAAGGCAAAAAAGUGAAAGGAGAAAAUAAAAAAAAGAAAGAAAGAAAAGAGAGAGAGAGAGAGAGAGAGAGAUAAAAGAAGGAUAAAAUGAGCAUUUUGAGAGAAAUAUUUGUUUCUUUCUCUUUUCCUCCUUUCUUAUUUCAUAUGUCAUGUUUGACUCCAUAUUGUUUUGUGCUUUUUACAGUAAAAAGUCAAGAGCUUUUAAAGUAAUGAAAAGUAGAAAUAUACUCGUGAAAUUCGAAGUAUGGAGCUUUAACUUCGAACUUGAAAUUUUGUUGCGGGUGCUUCUCCAUGUACUUCUUUUUAUGUAGCAUGUUAUCCUACAGCAGAGCCAAACAAAAAUUUAAUCUUGAUUUUAAUGAGAGAACAAUUUUCUUUCUAAUUUUUUCUUGCAUUCUUUCUUCAUCCAAGCCUAGCAUAUAGUUAAACCAAAUGAGAAAAAAAAAAAAAAAAAAAAAAAACUAACUAACAAAUCGUGAUGAUCAAAUGUUGUGUGGAUGCACAGUUUGCGUUCUACGUGAUAGUUAAAAAAGCUUUGGGAUUAACCCCAGAGGACCCCGAAACGGAGCAGCUAAGGAAGGAGUUCAUGGCACUCUACAAGGGACUAUAUGCACUUCCCAUUAAUCUUCCUGGAUAUACACAUUGGAAGGCUUUGAAGGUAAGUGCAUGAAAUGAUGUGAUCCUUUUUAAUUCUUUGAAAAUAAAAAUAAAAUAAUCAAAUCGAUCCCACAGGUAGUUUAUCACAUUUGCAGUUUUCGUGUUUCAAAAAUAUAGCACUUUGCUUUCAUAAGGUUCUUGUUUUAGCUUUUGUAACGUUAAUGUUGGCAUUUGGCCAGAACCAAAUAGGAUACGCUCAUGGUCGGGUUCAACCCAUAGUUAUCAUAUUAUCUAAUUAGGAUAGAAUUGCAUUUAUCUUGCUUUUAUUUUUGGAAACUAAGAAAAAAGGCUUUCUAAUAUACUAAAAUAAUUGAAAACAGACUGAUUAGGCCUAACAUUUUAACAUUCAGUGUUAGGAUAUUAUAAAUUAUCAUAAAUUUGUUGUUGAUUCUAUAUAGAAAAUACGUCGAAACAUCAAGAGAAAUUUAAUUAUAUGCCUCCUUGAGAGAAAGAAAACAAUAUAUAUUCCUCAUCAACUCAUUGAGUCUAGAUCUUAAACGGUAAAACCCUAGCUCAUUCAUAGAUAGAUAUAUAAAUAUAUCUACCAUAUAUGGGUUUGGAAAUUUAUGGUUCUUUAUCGACGAUUCAAGGAUAAGUGAAUCGACUUCUAUAUAUGAUCCCUUGUGUCUAAUGUUUGCAUCAGACAUUGUUAGGUGGAUUUCGAGCCUUAAUAUGAUAUGAUUUUUAAUAAGAUUGCACCGAUAGAAUACAAGUUAUCGAUCACUGUUAGGAUCGAGCUUCCUUUGCGUGAUGAUGGGUGUGAAUACUGGAUUUCUCCAGGAUAAAUAUAAUUAUAUGAUAUUCGCACAUCUCGCAACCCUCGUAUAAAUUGUUGAUAAAAUCAAUAAGGUUGGUCAAAAUUUGUUUUGUAUUUUUUUAUAAGUCUUAAUUUUUGAAAACUAUAAUAUUAGCUGGGGCUUUCUUGUUUUUAAUUUUUGAAUAAUAUAAUCCUAGUUGAUUCACAUUUCCAGCUAAGUUUAUUUCUAAAUAAAAUAAACGAAACGGAUAGCGUGCUAUCUAUCUCUCAAAAAGAAAAAAAAAAAAAGAAGACUGCUUUCCUAUAACUAUUUGACUCUCGCCAAGCUACCAUUGCCCCCAGCUGCUGAACGCAUCCUCCUGCUGCGUGCUGACCGCUGCCGUGUGCAGCUUUCUUCACUGCAGAGACUGUUCACUUCGGAUGGUCCUCUGCCUUGAUCCCAGACCGGCCGGACGAAUAGCCAUGAUUUGAUGGGCCAAUCUGACUUGGGUCUGACCCAAAUCCGAGGCCCCAUACCACUUAUGGAAGCCUGGCUUGCUCGGCGUAGGAGAACCCAACCAGCUGGCUGGCUUGCUCGCUCGUCCUUUUGCGAUGCCUCUAUGCAGGCUGUCUUAGUUAUAAUUUGGAGCUCCCAAAAUAUAUAGGUUGAGUCUGUGAUUGCACUGUAUUUUUUUUUUUAGGGGCAAUUGUUUAUACAUUCCUGAAAAGUUUCCUAUUUUCUGAUUUACCACUCGUAGAAGGUUAAUAUUGAAAAUACCUUUUUUACGUUUCAAUUUAUUUCAAAUAUAUUCCUAGAGUUAAAUUCUGUUAAUGAACUGUUAAAAUAGCUGUUAUCUCUAUGAAAUUAUUAUUUUGCCCUUUCAAAUAUACCGUUCUAUCAUCAUCGAUUUUUCUUAUUUGUCCUUAAGUUAGGAGUAAAAAAAUAUUUUGAUUUUUGGCCUUUUCAAAUAUACCCUUCUAUCAUCACCAAUAUUUGCUAUUAAGUCAAGGGCAAAAAAGGCAUUUUAUUUUUUUUUUUAACUCUAAUAGAUAUUUAAUUCACAUUUAACCCAAGUUAACUUAACAGGUGGUCACUGUAGAGAUAUUUUGGAAUAACAGAGGAACAUAUGAGGAGUGUAUUGGAAAGAAAAAAAAAAAAUAGGGACAAAUAAGAUAUUUCUGAAGUUUAAAGAGGUAUAUAGGCAAUUAUCCCUUUUUUUUUUAUAUAGAAUCAUUGAUAGCACAGUAUUGAGAAAGUAAUUGUGAUGAUAUUGUUCCCAUCAUAUACAAGUGGAAGAUAUUGGUCUUCAAUCAAACCAAAUCGAGUGCGCCUAUAGUCGGGCUCGACCCAAUUUUUAUCAUGUAGUCUAAUUGGACUAAAAUUGUAUUUUAGAAAACUGAGAAAAGAGACUUUCUAGCCAUAUCAGUAUAGGGUGUAAACGAGCCGAAUACGAUGCGAGCUGGGGGUCAGCUCGUGUUCGGCUCGUUUAAUAAACGAGUCGAACACGAGCUGGCUCGUUAAAAAAUUCAGCUCGUAUUCGGCUCGUUUAUUAAACGACCGAACACGAGCUGGCUCACAAGCUGGCCAAUGAACAAUAAGUUAAAAAGAUUAUAUUGAACAUAUAUAAGAAUAAAUUUAUAAAGUCUUAUCCAUUAGACUUUGAUCUAGUAGUUGAAAUUUUACAUAUAAAUGAGUGUUUUUAUAAUUGAGCUCACCUUUUAUAUUUUAUUUUGCUAAAAAUUAAAUAAUAAAAAUAUAUAUUAUUAUAUAAAUAUAAAUAAUAAUUAUAUAAAUAUAAAAUAUAUGUAUUCGAGCUGUUAUCGAGCCGAACAUAAGCGAGCGGACCCCAGCUCGUGUUCGGCUCGUUUAAUAAACGAGCCGAAAAAUUGGCUCGUGUUCGCCUCGUUUACUAAACGAGCGAUUCGAUCUCAAGCUCAUUUCAAGCCCAACAUGAGCUGGCUCGUGAACAGCGAGCUGAAUUGCCACCCCUAUAUCAGUAUAAUAAAUAAUAAACCAAUUAUUAGGCCUAAUCUUCUAAUCGUAUCCUUUAAAAGGUGUUUAAAACUCCUAUACAUAUACAGUCAAUUCUCUUGUGAAUAUGGAUAAAAAAAAAUAUACAUAUAAAAUAUUCUGAAAAAUUAAGAGAAAUUCAUGAAAAAUUUCGUUUGCUUUUUUGGAAGAGAAAACCACGUCCCCCAUCUAUACCUUUUAUAGCUAUACAUUAUUUUUCAUAGAAUUUGCCACAUGGCAGUUCUCGUUCACCCUUGCCUUCUUCCCCUUUUUUAUUUCCUAUCUAUACCUUUUAUAGCUAUACAUUAUUUUUAUAGAAUUUGCCACAUGACAGUUUCUACUUCACCCUUACCCACUCCCCAUCUCCGUCCGAUGCUUCAUCUUCCUACUCGCUGACUUUUUAAUUAAUCUAAACAAAUCGUUGUUAUAAGAAAAAAAGAGUAAAAUAAGACAUAUUCAUACUUUUCUUUUUGUAUAUUAUUUGUAUUUAUUGAUGUCUCGCGGCAAGUCAACAAAUUUUAAAAUUUUUAUUUUAUCAAUCUUCUAUUUUUUAUAGUAUUUGCACGCCGCAAUGUACGAAUAACUUCACUAGUUAGCUCAUUAAGUCUAAAGGGUCUUGAACAGUAGAAUAUAGACUUAAUUCGUUCAUAACUAGUCUAGGGUUAAAACGGUAGAGUACCUUCAUCGACUAUUGAAGGACGCAUGAAUCAUCUUCUAUGAUCCAGAAUCGAUCAUGUGACAAGAAAAGUUAACACGAUUAGCUUCUAGUAACAAAAAGGUAUGAUUCAAUCUUCUGCUGCGUCCUACAGUUAAAAACAAGAACGGUGUUACUUUUGUAUAUAUAAUGAAGCACUUUGCUAGCUUCUCAAAAUCACGACCUUACAAGAAACUAUAUGAAAGGCCAUACAAAAGCAAAGCGCCUUUUUUGGAGGGUAAAAGCACAAGAUUGUCACAAAUAUACUGCAUCAUAGGGGUUCAUUUUGAAUAAUUUUAUGCUAAUAAUGAACUUUGUAACUCAUCUAGCUAGCUAUGUACGUUCUCUAUAUGUUAUGUGCCAACAUAGGCUAGGGCUAAGGUUGUGAAAACUAUCAAAAAGAAGUUGGAUGAGAGGAAGGCAAAAGGAAGUGGUGGUGAGGAAGAUGAUCUUCUUGGGCAUGUUAUCAAGGAGAGUACUUACACUCCGGAGAACAUUUGUGACACCAUACUAGGCUUCAUUUUCGGCGGCGUGGCCACAUCCUCAACUGCAUUGUGCUUAGCCGUUUAUUUCCUUCAAAAUUGUCCUAAAGCUCGCGAACAAAUGAGGGUACGUAUGCUCAAAAACUUCACAUCGAUCCAUAAGUAUUAUUUUUAGCGAAGUCUCCAAAAAAGGAAAACAUUAAGUAGUGUAUCUAUGUGUAAAUAUGUUUACAGGAAGAGCAUUUGGAAUGUAUGAAAUCAAAGGAGGAGAAUGGCAAGGGAAAAUUGACAUGGGAUGACUACAAGAACAUGGAGUUCACACAAAACGUACGUUCAGAUAAUUGCAUAUAAUAAAAAAAACAAGAAAAGCUAUUAAAAAACCUGCUAGUUUUGAAUUAAUCUUGUUCCUUUUUUUUAUUCUUUUAUGGUAAAGGUGAUCAGUGAGACACUAAGGGUUGGAAAUGUUGCUCCGUAUGUCUGGAAGAAGGCUACGAAGGAUAUUGAGUUCAAAGGUUGGAACUUCGCUUGCAAUUUUAUUUAUUGUAUGAGUUUUAAUUUGCAAGUCUGGCUACUACACUCUUAUAAAUAUGAUCGCCUUCGUACUCAUAAGUUGUUCGUGAUGAUAGAGUUUCCAAAUUGACGAUCCAUAUCCUUAAAUAUGAUUUUAAGUAUUUGAAACUUUUAGAAAUUAAAUUUUAUAAUUUUUUGAUAUCAUUUACCUCUUAUGAUCAAAAGAUUUCAAAAUUGAUAAUUUUUAACGCUCAGUAUGGGAUACUUGCUAGUUUAAUAGUGUAAAAGACUCGAAAUUAAUUGAAUUUUUUAUAAAAAAUUUUUAUUCACUAUUUAGUUAAGAAUCAAUAACUCUAAUUUUAAAUUGAAGGAUUAAAUUAUUUAUUUUUAGGAUGUUGUUCAAUUUUGACCUUUCAUUUUCUUACGAAAUUUAUUUUUUAGAAGUUUCGAAUACUCUAAAUCAUAUUUAACGGUAUGGAUCGUCGAUUUGAAAACUCAAUCAUUGAAAACAACUUAUAAUUAUAAAGAGCUUUAUACUUAUAAUAUUACAGUAGCCCUACAUGGAUUUUUGCUUGCAUUAUAGAUAAAUUGAUUUGUAUACAUACAUGGGUUUGUUUUUACGAGUGCAGGAUAUUUUAUUCCUGAGGGAACCACUGUGAUAACCUAUCUUGCUGCUGUACAUUUGGACUCCUCUGCGUUUGAGAACCCAGAGCAGUUCAAUCCAUGGAGAUUGGUGAGUUCCAUUGCAUCUUAUUUCUACAUCAUGAUAAUUUUUCGUUAAUUUUUCGUAAAAGCAUAAACAUUCGAAAGUUUCUUUAUUUUGCUACUGAACAUUUCUUGGUUUUUUUUUUGAGAGAUAGAUAGCAUACUGUCAAUAGCACCAAACUGUUGGUGCUAUUAGGUUUUUAGCACUUUGAUGAAAAAAUAUAGGGUUAGAAUGUUUUGGGUCCUCUAAGAUUGAGUAAGUUGUUGGUUGAAUAGUAUAACCUAACGGAUAAAAAUAAUAAAAAGAUUAAAUCUAGCGGUGAAAAAUUCGAUAGCAUCAAGUGCUUGGUGCUAUCGAUAUAUAUAUAUAUAUAUAGAGCUAGGCAUAUUAUCGGUAGCACGGAGACCUCCGUGCUAUCAAGUUGUUUUCAAUGAUGCAGCUUCCAAAUCGAUGAUCGGCUCCGUUAGACUUGAUCUAUACUAUUGAAAGUAUGUGGAAAUUAAAUUUCAUAAUUUUUCGGCAUCAUUUACCUAUCAAACGAGUAGUCUAAAAAUGAACGGCUGAAAAUAAAAAUUUUAUAAAAAAUGAUGAUAAAAACUUGAAUUUAAGAUCAGAGGUACUGAUCUUACUCUAAAUAAUGAAAAGAAUUUUCUAUAAAAAUUUUAUCAGAUUUAGAUUGCUUUAUACUAUUAAAUUCACAAACGCAUCACAUCUACCAUUAAAAUUGUCAAUUUUGAGACAUUUUGAUCACUAGUCAAAUGAUGUCGAAAAAUUAUAAAAUUUAGUUCCCAAAUAUUUUUAUUAGUGCAAAUCAAGUCUAACGAAGCCGAUCGUCGAUUUGAAAGUCGCAUCAUUGAAAACAACUUGAUAGCACGGAGGCCUCCGUACUACCGAUAGUAUACCAGCCUGGCUAUAUAUAUAUAUAUAUAUAUAUAUAUAUAUAUAUAUAUAUAUAUAUAUAUAUAUAUAUAUAUAUAUAUAUAUAUAUAUAUAUANUUUUAUAUAUAGUAUAGAUAGAUAUAGAUAUAGAUAUAGAUAUAGAUAUAGAUAUAGAUAUAUGUCCCAUCAUUAUUAUAAAAAAAUAUUUUUUAUUGUACUUCUGUUUGAAAAGAAGAAAUGUGAUUAGUUUGUUAUUAAUGAUGUGGUGUAAGUGUGACCGUGUAGAAUUCCUCCCUGGGAGAGCCACAAGGCUGCACAUCCCAACUCCCAAAGCAUUCGAUGUUGGGAGGUCUUGGGAGUUGGGUACGACCCAACUCCGAGUGGCCGGGCCUUGUCGGCUCGGUAGACACGGGCUGUGUAGUGCCGGGCCGGGCCUUCCCUCAGGCCUGGCAAGGCACAGGCCAGUUUCAUGCCGGGCCACCGGGCCACGAGGGCGAGGCUGAACACGAUCCGGUUCAUCUGGCCGGGCCGGCCUGGCACAAGUGCUAUAGUACUCAUGCCGUGCCUCGACCCGGCCUACCCUAGUGCCGGGCUAGGCGGGCCGCAGGCCGUCUUUAGACCCCUCCCUACACCCAGCCAUCUAAUGAAUGAGAUUAUUUCACUAAUCACAUUAUUUGACAAAUAAUGAAUCUCACCUAUUAGAUUGAUGUGGUAUAUGAUAUGCAUUUCUUAGAGUGUAUGGAUAGUAUUGCUCUUAUUAAAUUUAAUAAAAUCUUUAAGUUAGCUAAGUAUAGAAACCGAAAUGAAAAAUUAAAAGUUUAAGAAGGAUUUAAUCAAGAGGAAAAUAGUAAGGUCUAUUUCUGGAAGUCCUAUAAUUUGAGGGGAUCUUUAUGCCUUUUUUUUAUUACUAUCCUGGGAGCGGUGAAUAUUUAAAAGUGAAUUGAGCUAGAAUACUCUCAAAAGAAACAAUCCUUUGGUGCUUUUGAGUUUCUAACCCUUGGAUCUACUCCUUGAUUACUAAUAGCCCUUGGAUCAAACACUAUUCCACCUACCACCACCUACUACUAUCAUCUUAAUCCUACAUCUCUCCAUCCGAUGGCUAAAAACUCAAAAGUACCACCUUCUUGGUGCUUUUGAGAGUAUUCUAGCUCAACUCUAUAUAUAUAUAUAUAUAUAUAUAUAUAUAUAUAUAUAUAUAUAUAUAUAUAUUCUAUUUAGUGCAACUCGAUCAUGAAUGGUUCUUCUUAAUACAUGUUUUUGAUCUUCCUAGAGAAUACAAAGGAUGUGAAGAAGGCAAACAACCUUCUCCCCUUCGGCGGCGGCGUCCGACAAUGCAUGGGCUCUGAGCUCGCGAGGGUCGAGCUCUCGAUAUUCCUUCACAACCUCAUCCUCAACUAUGACUGGGAAUCCGUCGAGCCCGACCACCCCGUCUCCAUUCCGCUGGUAUCCUUCCCCAAGGACUUGCCGAUUCGCGUUCGAGCAGUUGAUCAUAGCCUUUAGAUGAACGUACGAUAUGUGAUGCUAGCUAGCUAUCUAUCUGAUGGUUGUUGAUCUAACUAUUUCAGUUUUCUCCCGCAUGUCAUGCUCUACUUAAUAAAAUGAACUUCGUUCUUACUAAAAGUUAUUUCCAAAACUAUGUGUGGGUGUGAAAUAAAUGUCACAAAAGCUUUUUUCUAUAUCUCCCAUAAUAUCAUUUUUUAUAUUAUUAAUAUUCUGACAAAUUAUUACAUUAGGAAUUGAAGGUCUUGGAUUCAUUCAUAGAGUCAACUAAAAAUAGUAUAUGAGAUUUACUAGAAGAAAUUUUUUUAAAAAAUGAUAUAACAUAUAUACUAUACAAAAUAAUAUUGAAAACUGAAUGGAUCGUCUUUCAUAAGCUACCGAUUCAGAUGCAAAAUAAUAAAAAAAAUCGAACAAUAAAAAAUAAGUGUUGAAUGAAGAGAUCGAGAUUAAUUUGUAUGGUUCGGUACGUGCCCAAGUCCACAAAAGGAAUUAGAGAGAUGUAUCCAUCAUAUAGAAAAAAAAAAAAAAAAUACAAGCUUAUAUUUUAUGUAUUCUGUAAACCAAAAAGUAAGAACCUUAUGCUGACACGGUGACACCUAUCUUUCUUAAUUUCCAACCAAGUACCGAACACUACAAGAAAUUAAAUUAACAUUAAUUAAGGAUACUUUUUCUUAUAUUUAAUGAUGCUAAUUAAAAGCAUUCAAAUAUACUCUAGUAUUACUAUCACAUUUGAAAGCUUAGAUUAAAACUUCAGCAAGUAAAAGUCGUCGUGUGUAUAUAUAUUGACGCUUAUGCUAAGUGUCAAUGAAAUAUGUUCUGAUUUUUAAGCGUCAUGAUUUUUUAAAAUCGUGACAUUUUAAAAUAUUGAAUAAUUAAAAAUUAAAAAAAUUAUCAUUUAAUAAAUUGAUUCGAUACAAUAUAAAAUUCAUAUGACGAUACCUUUUGAAGCGUCGGUAUUUGCUAUAUUGUAAGGGAUCCUUGGGGACGCUUUCUCCAAGCGUCGUCUAAAAAAAUUCUUAUAUUGAGAUCGUGUAGUGAAAAGAAACUCUAUGAAAAAAAAUUGUAAUAAAAAAGAAAAGGCCAAUUUGCAUAAAGAAUUCAUUAGUUUUGAGCUUUUGCAAAAAUAAGGCCAUCUUUUUGGAUUUUGCAGAUUCGAAUCGAAUUUUCAGAAAACUGACCAAAAUAUCUUUAUUCUCUUUUCUCUCUCUCUCUCUCUUUUUCUCUCGUUCUUUUUUUUUUCUUUCUCUCCGAAUAGGUCGACGGAAGAGGCAGCCCACCUUGCCUUUGUUCCGCGCACCCUCGCUCGUGCCCCACACCCUCCCUCCGCCUUCCUCGCCUUCGACCCUACCGAGGCCGCGUCGCAACCCUCUAUUUUUUUUUAUUUUUCACUCCGACCCUCCACCCCUCCCCGGCUCUUUACAAUAGUAAAGAGGACAGCGUCACAUUCUCUUCCUCUCAUUUUUUUUAUCGUUCAUUUUUUUUUUUCUCUUCAACUCUCCUCCGCCGACUCCGUUAUCAAACUUUUAAUAUUUGCUAGAAUCACUCCAAUCCCUCGAGUAACUUUCACCGAGGGCUUGUGUGUGACGCUAGCUGUGCAUAUGCUGGUUGUUGAUCCGGAUGUUUCAGUUUUCUCCUGCCUGUCAUGCUCUCAGCUCAAUAAAUUAAAAGAACUUGGUUCUUACUAUGAGCUACUUCCAAAAGCGUUAAUUGGGUGUGAAGUAAAUCUCGCUACAAGCCUUUUCUAGAUCUCCCAAAAUAUUGUUUUUCAUAUUAUUAAUGAUUACAUCUUAUAGAAAUCAAUGAUAAUUUCUUGUUAUUUUAGAAAUCAAUGAUAAUGCCAUGCUAUGAGAAUUUUUUGUAUUAUCUUAUAGUCUAUUAUAUAACUAGGGCAGUGAACGAGCCGAACAUGAAUGGUUCUUCUGGGGACCCACCUCAUCACAUGGAGAUUUCAAUUCGAAAGGGUCCGGCUCACCAAGGAGGAUUUCACGAACAAAGUGCCGCUCUAGUGGAACGAGAUCACUACUAAGAGAUCGGCUAUCCUCACUCUAACUGCUAAGCUCAGACAUUGCAGAGCCAGGAUAAAGGAAUGGUGUAAGACGAACUUUCAUAGCAUAACUAUCACAAAAAGGGUUCUACAGGAUGAAAUCCAAAGCAUUGAUCUGCUAGAAGAACGGACAAACCUACCUCAGGAAAUCAUAGAUAAACGGGCUGACCUUAAAUCGCAACUCAUGCUCAUUCUUAAGGAAGAAGAAAUUCUUUGAAAAACUAGAGCUAAACAGCUUUGGCUUAAGGAGGGAGACAGUAACACAAAAUUUUUUCACGCGGUUGCCAACGGCCGUAAGCGCAGCAACAUGAUAGAAUUUAUUGAAGACGAAUCUGGACGCCAAAUCUACAACGAAGUUCAAAAGAGGUCCUAUUUCCUCCAUUCUUUCAAACGACUCUACGGCCGGAAGGAGGAGGGCCCGCCAUCUUUCGGGGACUGGAGUGGCCUCUACCAUGGACACACCCUGUCUGACCCUGACUCCCUUACUAGUCCGUUCACCCUCGAGGAAGUCAAGAACGCUACUUUCCAACUCGGCAGUGACAAGGCCCCUGGUCCUGACGAUUUUCCUCUCGUCUUCUUUCAACACUUCUGGGAGACAGUUAAGGAAGACAUCUUCAAAAUUUUCGCUGAGCUCCAGGAUAACACCCUCUCCACGUCCCCAUCCGACUACUCAUAUGUGUGUCUUAUCCCGAAAAAGGAAGGGGCGCGCAAAAUACAUGACUUUCGACCGAUAAGCCUUAUCAACAGAAUCCAAAAGAUCAUCUCCAAAGUCCUGGCCAACAGACUCACGCACAUCUUACCGACAAUUAUCUCCCCGACACAAUCGGCCUUUCUGAAAGAUCGCCUACUGGCUGACUCCUUUGUCACUGCAAGCGAACUUGUCAACUGGUGCUCUAAAUCUAGUAAGGAGUGUGUCCGUGUUAAGGUCGACUUUGAGAAAGCUUUCGAAAACGUUAGGUGGUCCUUCUUGCAAAGUAUACUGCGAUGGCUUGGUUUCAAUGGCAAAUGGUGUAGCUAGAUCGAACAAUGCAUUUGUAAUGCGAAAAUCGCCAUCUUAGUAAAUGACUGCCCAACAACGUGGCUGAAAGCAAGGAAGGGGCUCAGACAGGGAGACCCGCUCUCUCCCUACCUUUUCAUUUUGGUGACCGACUGCCUUGCCAAACUCACCGAAACUGCUAGGAGCAACAGUUUGAUUCAUGGAAUUGGCCCAACUGCAGACUGCCAAACAGUGCUUCUUCAAUAUGCGGACGAUACAGUUUUUUUCUGCGAACCAAGGAAGUCAAAUAUGCGAAACCUUCUGUUUAUUUAGAAGAUCUUCGAAUGGGCCUCAGGUCUCAAAAUCAACAGGAACAAAACGGAACUUUACUAUCUGGGACCCAACUCCAGGAUAGCGGAUACACUCGCUGACAUUUUGGGCUGUGCAGUAGGCAAUCUUCCUUUCAAAUACUUAGGGUUGCCGCUUCACAAUAAACCACUGCGAAGGGAGGAUUGGGCUCCGAUCAUUAACCGUAUUGAAACACGCAUGGAAGGCUGGAAGGCUAAACUACUCUCUCAGGGAGGAAGACUCACCCUUGUAAACUCAGUGCUCUCAAACUUGCCGCUUUUCUACUUCUCCAUAUUCAAAGCGCCGCAUUGGGUUAUACACCGUAUAGAAGCCCUAAGAAGAUCAUUCUUCUGGAAAGGAUGCUGCAAAAUCUCCGGGGGAUCUUGUCUAGUGGACUGGAAAACCAUCUGCAAAAGCAAAAAAGAAGGGGGAAUAGGGAUAAAGGACAUGGACGCUAUGAAUACGGCACUCUUAACCAAAUGGUGGUGGCGCUUUUUCAACGAGCCGCACCUGCUCUGGGGAAGGUUGAUCAGAGCUUUAUACUACACCAGACGAAGGCUGUUACACUAGGAAAGAGCUUUCCGACCCUACUCCCAGUGGUGGAAGAGUGUGGUGAGGUGUCGUGAGGCGUUCAAAUGCGGUGUAUCUUAUGUACUUGGAGACGGAAGAAACAUCAGACAGUGGUCUGACAUUUGGAUUGGGGAAACUCCUCUUCGUACCUUGCUCCCGGAUAUCUUUGACAAAAUCGAGAACAAGGAGGUCACAGUUUCCCAAUACUGGAACGUACGUGGCUGGAGAUGGCGUUUCAUAUCCAGAGGGCUCGGAUCUUCUCCCUCCGCUAAUAGUCGGCGACAAAUGAUGAUGCUUAAAGAGCUGCUGCCCCAUUACAAUCCAAUCCCCACACCGGAUCUGCUCAAGUGGCGGUGGACCAGCAACGAAUCUUUUACCGUUAAAUCCAUAUAUAACUUCAUUACCGACGCAGGACAGAGAGACACGACGUAUGUACACUUAUGGGGUUUACGAACCCUGGUCAAAAUCAAAAUCUUCAUCUGGAUUCUGCUUCGCAAAAGACUACUUACUGCCGACAGACUGCUCCGCCGAGGAUGCCCCGUGGACCAGCAUUGCGUCUUCUGCACUACAUUCCCAGAAAGUUGUGACCAUCUCUUCUGUAACUGUGUAUUCGCCAGAUACCUCUUUUUCCCUGAUGGAAGCCCAGACCCAACCGACUCGGGACAAAGUGACGUGCAAAGUCUUUGGGCAAAUACUUCUAGCAUACUUGACGCAAAGAGGAGAACGAAAUGCCUAACCAAUUUGGCGGCAACCUGGUGGGUCAUUUGGACGAAACGCAACAACACUAUCUUCCGCGAGUACGGCCACAAUGCUACCAGGGCUCUUGAGCGCGUCUAUACCUUGACGAACGACUGGAUGUUCUUGCCUUGAUGAAUGCCGGGAACGACCUGUGAUCCCUUUCUUUUUAUUCCUGAUCUCUCACUUUUGUAUUUUCGCAUCACCUAUUCUAGCUCUCUAGCUUUCUCCUAUAGCUCUAUUUUUCCUUCCUUGUUCAUUUUCUACUUUCUUCUGCUUCAUAGGAGGCCUUAGCUGCUUCCAUCAUGUACGCUUAGUUCAUUUUGCUUGAUGAAUGAAGCAGGUAGCUCGCUACCUCUUUCUCAAAAAAAAUGAAUGGUUCUUUUGAUGCAUAUAUGUUUCUGAUCUCCCUGCAGGAUACAAAUAAGGAUGUGAAGAAGGCAAGCAACCUGCUCCCUUUCGGCGGCGGUCAUGUCCGACACUGCAUGGGCUCUGAACUCGCGAUGGUCGAAAUCUCAAUACUACUACACUUCCUCAUGCUCAGCUAUGACUGGGAAUUCGUCGACCCCAUCUCAAUCCCUCAUUCGAUAUGGAUGGUUCAGAUAGAUCUUGCCUUUGAGGAACAGCAUCCAUACGCUUAAAAAAUAAAAUAAAAUAAAACAGAGAAUCGUAUGUAUGAAGCUGUAGAGCAACUGCACCCAACAAUUAUCAUCUCCUAAUUUUUUUUCUCAUUAAGGAGCUAUUUUACUCCUCAAAAAAGUGUGGAAAUAAGUUUUCAAAAAAAAUUCAGGGAAAAUUCUGAAAACUCCUUUUCUAAUUUUCCACCGUUUGAUUAGAAGGAAAAUAAUGAAAAAUAUUUGUCUAGUAAAAAAUUUGUUAUGCAAAAAUCCCUUUUUCAAUUUUUUGUCUGUAUGAUUUCAAGGAAGACUAGCUUUUCUGAAAAGCUUCUUUUCAAAUUUUGUGGAAAUCUAGCAAAUUCAUUUUCCUAAAAAAAUCUGAAAAAUAAUUUUAAAAAAAUAUAGUUCUUCUUGAAACCAAAUGGCCGAAAAGUUGAAAAAUAGAUUUUACAUAAGAAUUUUUGUUUUUGAAAACAAAAUUCAUACUUUUCUAACGACCAAGCACUCUUAAGUUAUUUUUGAAAAUUUGUCAUGUAUCCGACCGGUGGACAUCUCUGAUUAGAACCAAAUCUUACUACGUAUAAAGAUUGGCUAAAGUAAACAUUAUUUUUAGAGAUAAAGAUCGAUAUAAUUGAAACGAAUAAAAUUAAAUAUUAAUAAUCUGAUUGUAAGGAAAAAAAAUAUUGGGAUUAAAAUAAAAAAAGUCAAGUAAAAAAAAUUGGAGACCAAUGAUACAAUUAACCUAAUAAGGAAACAAACUUUUUAUGUGAAGUAAAAUAUAAUCAACCUAAGAUAGUUUAUAUAUUACUACUGGACAAGCGCAUAUGCCCCUCGGAUACAAUAAUUAAUGUGAUACGUGACCACCACAGUGAUUCAAUAAUUGAUGUGUGACCACCCAUUUAUAUGCACGUGAAUAAGCAAAAAAUCUUGUUAAUAUAUCUAUAUUCUAUAUAUUAUAAUGCGUGGCGCAAUAGUUGACACAUGUUUCCGAUGAUAUAUUGGACCAUUAUUUAUGGACAUAUGUCCAUUCCAAUGUGCACCGGGUACACUAUGGAACCAAUAAAAAAAAAUAUUUAUAUUUUAGUAAAUAUGUCUAAAAUUUAUAAAUAUUAAUAUAUAUACAUUUUAAAUAUUAUAAAAUAAAUUAAAUUAACUAAAAUUUAGAUUUGAUAUUUCUAUUGUACAAAUUUAUAAGUGUGUAUGAGAUAUACAUAUACACUAGGUGCAGUGAAUGAGUUAGACUAAAAGUCACUAUGAAUUAGAUCCCCCAACAGUUAAUUAUUUUGAUUUGAGUUAUUAUUCUGAAUAAAUUAGUCGAAAGAAUUGUUAGACUUAUCAGCUUCACUGCCUAUCACCUAUUAAACUAAUUGGAGUACUUCCCCACUUUUUGUCAAUUAUCUAUUGUAAGCUGUAAUUUUAGAAAAGUCAUAUCUAAUUUCUCUAACAUUUUAUAUUUUUGAAAACUAUUUGGUGCUUAAUUUUGAUGAAGUUAGAAAUUUUUCAAAAAAUAAAUAUAUGUUUAUAAAUGCCACAAAAAUAUCAUAAAAUCAAUCAAUUAAAAAACUAUAAAUCAAAUAACUACCUUUUUAUUUUAUCAUAAUAUUUUCAAUUUUUGACAUUGCAUGCAUUGCUUAACAAAAAUGACCUAAAUAAAGGUAGAAGAAUAAGAAGUAAAAAAAUACAAAAAAUAGAUAUGUAUCUUUGGGACAAAUUGACUUAAAAAAUAAGCAUAUUAAGAACUUACUUCUUUUCAAAUUUUAAUUUUCGAAUAUCAAAUUUUAAAUUUGCAAGCGUAGCAUCUUUCCCAAGACGAUUCUUUGGUCUCCCACUUUUCGACCCAAAAUUUGGUUAAUUUGAAUGGGAAUUUCCUCUUCUGCUCACCAAAAUGCAUUUUAAUUAAAUUGAAAGAUGUUUUAAGGUGCAUGUAUAUGCAUUUUCGGAGAAAGAUACGAAAUUAGGGGAUUUAUAAAUUAAGUGUUUCGAUCAUUUGAAAUACCUUCAUAGUAACAUUUUUUUUCUGCUACCGACCGUCUCUAGAGCAAGUGGCAAAGGGUUUGGUGGUUGGUAUUCGAGACCCAAGUUUGAAUCCUAGUUGAUUCAUAUUUUCAGCUAAUUUUAUUUCUAAAUAAAAUAAACGGAACGGAUAGCAUACUACCUAUCUCUCAAAAAAAAAAAAAAAAAAAACAUUUUUUUUCCUGCUAGAUUAAUUGGCUUUUUUGUUUUAAAGAAAAUAAUAAUAAUAAUAAUAAGAUCAGACAAUUAGUUCGCUUCACUGCUUCCUGAUCACUGUUUGUGGUCGCAAACGAGCCCUGCACCGUUUGUCUGUCCCCUGCAUGUCAUACUCUACUUAAUAAAAUGAACUUGGUUCUUACUGUAAGCCAUUUCCAAAAGCACGUUUGGGUGCAAAGUAAAUCUCACUACCAGCUUUUUCCAGACCUCCCAUAGAUAUUUAUAAUACUGAAUGUUGCUAUAUGCUGUGUCCAUAUUGACGGGUCUUAAUUUAACCCGAUCCACAUAAGAUGUGGAUUGAGAUUUAAAAGUUAAGAAUAAGGAUGGAUUAUAUAUUUCUUAUUAGUUAAGAAACGUAUCUCCUAGUGGAUAUCUAUAAUUAUGGAUAUUCUAAUUCUAAUCUCUACGUUAUUUUAUAUAUACGUCCGUUUUCUCUCCCGUAUAUAAUAUGAUUUAAUUCGAUGUAAGAGAAUCCAUGAUAAAUCUUUCUUCUUCUCUCUUCUUCCUCUCUCUCUCUCGGAUUUCCACCUAUGUUCGCGGGGUUUUGGAGUGUGGACAUAGAAGAGAACUCUAAUAGCCCUCUUCGAUUGACAUCCGACGUAUCCGAUUUACGACGCAAGCCGUAGGCGUAGGAGAAGGCGAGAUACGUGAGAGAUCUAAAAACAUUGAGACAAGGACGAUCCAAGCAGGCUUGUAAAACAAGCAAUCCGAUCCGAUUCCGAUUCCUGGAUACGUUGGCUAUCCAGUUUGUAAGUUUUCACUACCCUAAAAUUUUCAACAAUUGGUAUCAGAGCAUGUGUGCUUGUUUUCACCGUAUGAUCAUGCCUGUGAUAUUUCUUUUAAAUCGCAUUCGCUGAUCAUUUUUUUUGUACAUUUGUUCUACAAUUUUUUCGUUUUCUAUGUGAAAUCGAUUAAAAAGAAAGAAAAGAAAAACUAAAUUAGUUUAAGUUUUCUCGUAAAAUUGAUCAUAAAACAUGCGAAAUUUUUUUUUACAUAAAUUGUAUUUCUUUCUCUUUUUUUCGUGAUUAAAUUAAAAAAAAAUGUUGCAACAACAGCGGGCGAGAGCACACUGCACCCACGCCGUGCGAGCGGGCAUACCAGCCUACCACGCGCGCGGGAAGACCCGCGCAUUGCAGGAGGGCUUGCAGGCUCGACCCGACCUGCUGUGCAGGGACGCGGCCCUGCGGGAUUCGGGCGGGCCCGCUGCAUGAAGAUAUAUGCUAUUAGGUUUUUGGCCAUUAGAUGAAGAUUUGUGCGGUUAGAAUGAUAGUGGUCUUCUAGGAUUGAGUAUGUAGUUGAUUGAAUAGCAUAAUUCAACGGAUGGAAAUGGUCAAAAGGAUAAAUUUAGUGAUGAAAAACUUGGUAGCACUAAGUGAUUGGUGCUAUUAGAAGCCACCCGAUCGUGCUUUUUCUAUAUAAUAUAUAUAUAAUUAUAUAUAAUAUUAUAUAUAUUUAAUUAUAUAUGAUAAUAUAUAUUUAAUUAUAUGCAUAUAGAGUUUUGGGUUAUUGUGUAUAUUUACUAACCCAUAAAACUAAAGUAAGAAAACCCUACUCUAUAAACUCUCUCUCCUUCUCUUUCACUUGCUUGCAUAAGCACUUUCUUCUAAAUUAUUUUUCUUGAUAUUAUAAUACCGUAUCUAUACAUUUAUUUUGUAUGUUGAAUUAUUAGACAUAUUUUUGUAUCAAAUUCUAGAUAAUAUUCUAUAAAAAUUAAAGUAUAGAUUGCAUGAUGUUAACAAUUUCAAGCAGCUCAUUUAAGACUCGAGUUUGCUCGACUCGAAAUUAGACUCGCUCAAGCUCGACUUGAAUUAAGCCGUGCUCGAGCCUAAAUUAAGGCUUGAAAUUAAUUUCAAGCCAAGCUUGAGCUAAGAUAAGCUCGCUCAAGCUCGGCUCAUUUCCACCCCCUAAACACGAGUGAGCUGGGCCAGCUCGUGUUUGACCUGUUUCUUAACGAGCUGAAUAUGAGCGAGCUCGAAUAAAUUGUCAGCCGAUCUCAACGUGGGCUAUUCAAGCUCGUCACGAGCUCGAGCUAUACAAGAACCUUUGGUGCUUCAAUUUUUUGGCUCAUGGAUCCAUUUGGAUCCGGUCAACAAUGGCGGCCCAAUAUGGCCCCCUAUUAUCUAUCAUCCAAAUUGCAAACAACUUGAUCCAAGUGCCAAAAAAUUGGAAGCACCAAGAACCAAUAUAGUAUAUAUAUAAUAUAAAAAAAUAAAUAUAAAUAUAUACAUAUGUAUUAUAUCGAACUAUAUCAAACCGAACACGAGCGAACUAAUCCCAGCUUGAAUUCAGAUUGUUUAUUAAACAAGUAAUGCAAUCUUAAGCACGUACAUUUCGAGUCGAACAGAAGCUGGUUUCGCUAAUGGUGAGUUGGAUUGCCAAUCCAAUAUAUAACAACAACUUAACAUACAAUCAAAAGUUCCUUUACUUUGUUACUUAACAUUUCAUUCAUUUAAGUGGAGUCAUCUGAUGUCUCCUGCAUGGUACAAUUAUAUCAUUCCUUCGGUAAAAGGCGUGUUCCCACUGUUUCAAAGAUAGAGCUAUCAAAUUGCUCGAAUCAAAUAAAUUUAAAAUAGGAUAACGGGGUCGUUAAUUCAUUGUACAAAUUGGACCAGAAUUUUGUACAUUUUGAUCAGCAAAUUAACACAACUUAAAGCUCAUAAAUGGUUCUUUUGAUGUAUGUUUCUGUUUUCCCUGCAGGAUACAAUGGAUGUGAAGAAGGCGAACAACCUGCUCCCCUUCGGCAGUGGCGUCCGACACUGCGUGCACUACAACAAAAAUGGUCUAUAGCGACACUUUUAAAUGUAGCUAUAUGUCAAAAAAGUGCUGCUAGCUAAAAUUACCGACACUUUUAAAAAGUGUUGCUAUAUGUGGGGUCGCUAGGUAUAUAGUGACAGUUAAAGAGUGUCGCUAUAACCUAAAAAAGUACUGCUAAUUUACCAACACUUAUUUAAGUAUUUAGCAACCGCCGAAACUCUGUCUCGUUGGCUGCGGUGGCGGAGGAGGACGACAGGAAAGGCUCUUCGUCUAGAAUUUCAGUGGAUUGAGUGAAGAAAGAAGAAAAGAUGAUAAGUGAUUUUUCUUUUUUUUUUUCUUUUCUGUUUGUAAUCGGGCCAAAUGGACUGGGUGUGGUGGGUUGAGUAGAGUAAUUUUUUAUUUUUGAUUGGAUUAGACUUUACACUUAGGUAUUAGUAGAUAUUUUUUUAAGUUUUAGUAUAAAUGGGACACUUACUCAAAAGUGUCCCAAACAUGUGUUCCUAUAAUCUAAUUCUGUUGUAGUGGUGGGCUCUGAGCUCGCGAGGGUCGAGAUCUCGCUAUUACUUCACUAUCUCAUCCUCAACUAUGACUGGGAAUCCGUCGUGCCCGACCACCCCGUCUCAGCUGCUCUGGUAACUUUCCCUAAGGACUUGCCGAUUCGCGUUCGAGCCGUAGAUUAUAGCCUUUAGAUGAA